AGGAGGCUGGAGCGCGGCGAGCCCGGCGGCGGGCGGCUGCAAAAGGCGGCCUGGAUCGCCGCCGCGGCCCGCUCGGCUCCGGCCCGCUCGGCUCCGCCCCGCCCGGCCCCGCAGGCGGCCAAGCCCUCCACAAGGCCUUCUCCGGGUCCUCCCUGCAAGCAGGUCACCGCGACGGCGAAACUUGCUACCCACCAGGGUCAGGCCGCAUGCCCACAGUGAGGCAGCAAAACCCGCGCCGGUCCCUGCCGUCCGCCGUAGCCACUCCGGCCCACAGCUGAAGCGUUUGCUCCCGCCAGGCCCGGGUAUCAGCCUGUACUUCGCAAGUGAUCACCACGGAAGCGCCCCAGCCAAUAAAUCAGCUGCCCACUGGGAAGAGAGGCCUCCCACUCUGGUUGUCAGAGACCCGCGGGACAAACACAGAGAAGGGCCAGACCUGGCCUACAAGACCCAUCUACAGCCUCCCACUCUAGUCCUGCAGGCUCUGCGAGUUCAGAGUUCUCCCAGUGCUGGAUAUGACUCAUCAUUGUCAAUUUUCAAUAUAAUUGAUAUAGUUCAGUGGGAAAAUUGUGUGAGGCACAAGAAAGCAGCGCGCAUUCCUUGGUAUGAGGAGCAGACUUCUGGUACUUGACUUCUGCAUCAGUUGUACGAUCAACAGGCAGCCUUAGCUGCACAUGGCACCUCUAGACCAAGAAAGAGCUUAGUCCUCAAGGAGUUCCAAUCAGCCCAGAGAAGCAAAUAGGUAGGGAUGGAUCUUGGGCCUAUAAGGAAAGCAGCAGAGGAACAAAGGGUGGUGGGUGGAGCUAGGAAGAGGAAGCUAGCUCUGCUGGACUUAGGGGACAUGACAAGGGAGAGCAUAAGCUGGCCAGGUGGGCUCCAGCUGGGCUUUGAGUUGACCAGGAAGGACAUAGGAACAUUCUUGAAGCUCCAAGGAGGACAAGGUAUGCAGAAAAAACUGACUGCUUGUAGAUAGGCCAGCCCGGGAGGAGCAGGCUGCACAGAGCUUUGAGGAGUUAAGACCCAAUGGCAGACCAGGGAUUGAAGGUGGAGCUUUCCCCAGGGAGGCCCAAAUUGUUGAGUAGGAAGAGAGCAGCAGAGGCUGGUGGCACAGCAUUGUAGGAGAUGCGGCCCUGAAUUCACUCUGGGUUUGCUUUGGUCCUUCCUACUCUUCAGAAUUCCCAGGACAACCUCCAACCUCCUGUGUCCUGGCUGUGGGUUUCUUGAAAGAUACUAGUGCUCUCCAGCUGCAUCUAAGAAGCAAUCCCACUGAGAACACUCACUUGGCUGUCUCACAGGCAUCUCAAGCUAACUGCACUUCCAGAAAUAUGAAUUGACAUCUGAUGAUACUUGGAAAGGGCCUCUCUGUUGAAUGAGUACUGGUCCUGAGAGGGCAACACUCAUGAAGCAGUCCAUGGUACGGAUGGAUUCCCCCAGAAGUCAAGGCUAUUUAACUCUUGCUUUCUGUGCUUUAAGCACUCACAUCCCCACAGAAGCUGGCUCCACGAGACAGAGGACCAUAGGACACAACAGGAGAGUGGCGAAAGGACAAAAAGGAGACAACUGAGUGGGAGACAAGUUUCUUACUCUGGAGGAGUCACAGACCAAAGACUAACAGGACACCAGCUUUCUCCCAGGGUGCUCAGAGCGCAGGCGGAUAUUGUGGCCCAUGCAAUAAGGCUUAAGAAGGGAUGAAAGAAAUGUUCCUUUCAAAAAAAAAAAGAAAGAAAGAAAGAAAGAAAUGAAUCAUCCACACAUUAGGCUCCUCUGUGUCUUUUUUGUUUGUCUUAGGCCUUUCAGACUUCUUGAUAAAACAUACUAUACUGAGGAAGCUUCAAAGAAAAUGAAACCAUGGUGACAAGGGAAUCCUACCAACUAGAGUCCCAUUUUAAGUUCAGCCACUUUUCUCAGUCCUCUCUCGGUCCACAGGAAACCAUAGCCCACAGCCACUUUAAGAUUACCAGCAAGGUCCUUCCCAAUCUUGGAAGUCAUAGGGAAAAGCCUGUCCAGUUACUCCUAUCUUCACUGUUAGGACAAUGCUCCCACCCCCCACGCACACAGCAGAGACCUAACCUUUGCUAGGUGAGAAAGCAAACAGACAACAGGAUGACGCCUCAGAGUGUUAGGUGCAUGCCCACCCACUCCCCACAGCUUCUGUAUACCUUCAACCCACCUGCUCAGUGUUACCUCAGUUAGGAAGGCCUGGAGCAAUCACGUUACCUUGCCAGCUGCACACACUCAUAAACAGCACUGCUGUGUCCCUGUCAAGGGACCAAGGGGAUGAGGAACUGUACACAUUUCCACGCUUCCCACCUUUGCUUUUCCAACAUAGCUUAGACUAUUCUUAUUCCCCGCCAGAUCCACCACUGUAGCAACUCUAAAUGGCCACUUGUACCACCUACAACUUUGGUCCGUACUGCCCUCUACAAAUGUCCAAGUGUCCCAUGCUCCCCGACUGCCUCUUCAUCACAUUACGAGCCAUACAGCAUCCCUUAGUGCCUUCAGUGCUGGGGCAGCAACUCCACUUUGCCAUCUAGGUAGCCCAUCCACACACAGCCUUGCUCAGGCACCCUUGGCAGUAGUCCUCCUCUGUCCCUACCAGCACCACAGUCAGGCAGGGGAGCGUUUUACCCACAGACCUUCUGAGGCUCUGGCUGUGGCCUAUUUCUGGUGUUCUUUAAUUCUAAACAAAGCAGCCUGUGGGGAACCACACCAAACACAAAAACUAAAGGUCUUUCCUAUUUACCCUUGCACAGCCUAACCUUAAUCCCACACAAUUCUUGCCUGACCGUGGCCUCUGGCCACCUACCACCUCUGUCCUGAUUUCCAAGUUUCCUUGUAUGGGAAGUCUGGAUAGCUAUAAUCUUGUGACAAUGUAACAGGGACCACUGCAGGAGGGGACAGUACAACAACACGAGAAUAACAUACAACUGACCAGCAGACAGACAGACUUCUCUAGGUUACCCUAGGCUGCAGGUGAGAUGACCAGUCUCAGGAGUUGUGAUAAUUUAAUGUCCAGCUCCUAGCUCCAUGUGCAUAGCUCCUGACACUUGUUUCAUCUUUUCUAUUAAUUCUAACACAGAAAAGGCAAGUAAAGCAAGAACUUUCUCUUCUCAGUUGUGCCCAAAACUGUACACAAACAGAUGCUCAGCUUUUCACCACGGUCCACUUCUAAGGCUGCCGGAGGAGCUGCAGACAGUAGUAGGUCCGGGCUCUGGAACAUCCAUGCGGAUUCUUUGCCUGGUCUUCCUACUGAGUUCAAGCCAAGGACAGCACUAGUCCCAGCAUUCCCAUCUUAAAAAGAAGCAUUGUGAGGCAAGGG